CGUCUGGCGCGCAUGCGUAGUUUCCGCCCCGCCCCUCCCCGGUCUUUCGGCCUUCGCGGUGGCGGCGGCGGCGCCCAAUCUUCGCCGCUUCCGCGGCGCGCCGGGAUUACGCUGCGGAAUGGUGUGGUGGCUCGAUUCUCCCAGUGCCUGGCUGAGUUUCGGACGUGGUUAAGAACCAACUGGUUGAGGUUCAAUGCAGACAAGACGGAUGUGAUGCUGCCAUCUGUUGAGUCUUCAAGUCCAGGAGGCUCAGCAACAUCAGAGGACCAUGAGUUUGAUCCAUCAGCUGACAUGCUGGUUCAUGAUUUUGAUGAUGAGCGAACAUUAGAAGAAGAAGAAAUGAUGGAAGGAGAGACAAACUUCAGUUCUGAAAUAGAGGAUCUUGCGAGGGAAGGCGACAUGCCAAUCCACGAGCUGCUCAGCCUCUAUGGUUAUGACAGCACUGUUCGGUUACCUGAGGAAGAGGAGGAGGAAGAGGAGGAGGAGGAAGGUGAAGAUGAUGAAGAUGCUGAUAAUGAUGAUAACAGUGGCUGUAGUGGAGAAAAUAAAGAAGAGAAUAUAAAGGAUUCAUCGGGUCAGGAGGAUGAAACUCAGUCUUCCAAUGAUGAUCCCUCACAGUCUGUUACUUCCCAAGAUGCUCAGGAAAUAAUCCGCCCACGUCGAUGUAAAUAUUUUGAUACAAAUAGUGAAAUAGAAGAAGAAUCUGAAGAAGAUGAAGAUUAUAUUCCCUCAGAAGACUGGAAAAAGGAAAUCAUGGUGGGCUCCAUGUUUCAAGCUGAGAUUCCAGUUGGUGUUUGUAGAUACAAAGAAAAUGAAAAAGUGUAUGAAAAUGAUGAUCAGCUUCUGUGGGAUCCAGAGUGUUUACCAGAAGAGAAAGUGGUUGUCUUUCUUAAGGAUGCGUCUAGAAGGACAGGGGAUGAGAAAGGUGUGGAAGCAAUCCCUGAAGGCUCGCAUAUCAAAGACAAUGAGCAGGCUUUAUAUGAGUUGGUUAAAUGCAGCUUUGAUACGGAAGAAGCCUUGAGAAGACUGAGAUUUAAUGUCAAAGCAGCUCGAGAGGAGUUAUCUGUGUGGACAGAGGAAGAGUGUAGAAAUUUUGAGCAAGGGCUGAAGGCCUAUGGAAAAGAUUUUCAUCUGAUUCAGGCUAAUAAAGUCCGAACAAGAUCAGUUGGUGAAUGUGUAGCAUUCUAUUACAUGUGGAAAAAGUCUGAGCGCUAUGAUUUCUUUGCUCAGCAAACAAGGUUUGGAAAAAAGAAAUAUAAUCUUCAUCCUGGUGUAACGUGAGUUGUUUUCUAAGCUUUCUUGGAUUUUUCUUAAAAGAGUUAUGAACUUUGUAGUACAUCAAAGUACAGUUUAUGUUAGUUUAUAAACAUUAUCUCUUGACAUGUAAGGCAUACAGACUUCAUUGUCUUAAGAAGAAUUCCAAACCGUCAUGCUUGUUAAUAAAACAAGCAUAAAACCAAGGUUUCGAGUGCAGGUUUUCAUUAGGUCUUCUUAAAAUGGAAAAGGAGAAUGUAUUAAUACUACAUUUGCGUUAAUUCAUUUUCUUCCUCCCCCCUUUUAUUUGUUUGUUUGUUUGUUUGUUUGUUUAGAGGCAAGAUCUUGCUAUGUAGUCCUGACUGAGCUGGCCUCAUUCUUCGCAAUUAUGUUAAUCUUCCAAGUGCUGGGAUUAUGUAUGUGUGCCACCACCUAUGGCUUAGUUUUGAUCUUUGAGAAGAGUAAAAUUAGGACGAAGUCAAGGUUUCCUAAAACUACUGGGCUAUAUAACCAGUGGAAGGCCAUUAAAGAGGAAAAGAAAUUAAUUUGUUUCUUGAGCAGCCUGUUUUGAUCACUGGAACUAAGAGAUACAGAUGUAGACGUUCUUAAACAGGAGGGGGUGGAGCACAGGAAUGUGGCCAUCGGGUCACAUUGAAUCUUCUUGUUUACUAGUUUUACCUUUUUCUAGUUUUCCUGAAUCGUAUAGGACACAGUAAUAAUAAUGCUAAGACAGCCCAGACUUGGGAGUGAUGCAGUGAUGGUAGCUCUACUCACACUCAUGGUGUGUCUUGCCUGCCUACCCACAGUCUCCAGCAUAAGAAAUCCUCUUAGCUCCAUUCCGGCUGUAAGUCGAUGUGGUCAGGGUACACGAAUAAAGAUGCUGUGUGCUUGACACACAUUUGCUUGGCUCAUGUUUGACUAUAUUUUCCAAACCUCUGGGCCGUACUGUUUCUUUGUUGUGUUCAUUUAUAGAUUGAGUACUUCCUCAGGUCAGACAUGCUAAAGCCCAAAGCAAAAUAAAGUCAGAAAGCAUAGGUGGGGGCUCAGCAUUGGAAUACCUCAGCCUAGUGUGCUGAAGACCUGCCUAGGCUGCUGCCAGCAUCGCUCCCCAGCAAGGGAGCAAGUGGAUAGCAUCCAUCCUUGGCAAAAGGCAGUGCACGCUGCCUCUCCUGUUCCCCAGGUAUUCAGAGUUGGUGACCAUUAGGAUUGAAUUUCAUAUACAGGAGCUCUACAGACUUUCUCAUUGCGUAAUAAAUACUCUACAAAUACUUGAAUGAAUUUAAUUUGAUCAUUUAGUUUAUGAACAGUUUAACCACUUGCUAAAUUUAUUAUUUUUCUGGGCUAUUCAGUGGUACUACAAAGAUGUAGGACUAGCUGUAUCCCUCCCUCCCUCCCUCCCUCCCUCUCUCCCUCCCUUCCAUCCUUCCUCUAUUUCAGAAACAAUGUUUACAAGUGCUGACUCUGUCAUCAUCAACAUGAGAACACAGCACAUUUGCCAUGCUACUGCAGAGUCCUAGUUUAUCUAGUUUUCUUUUUCAGAAAGCCUUAGCAGAGGGCUGAAUGUGCUAAGGACUUGGCUUAGUUGGCUCUGUGAUGUCCAGGGCAGCAGGGUGGGCAGGGAUGUGCCAAACAUUUUUGUUUCUCAGAUAAUCUCUCAUAGUUUCUGAAAAGCUUUGAAAGUAUUGAACAUGUUAGUUUCUCCUAGGUGAACUUUUUUAUAGGUGGACACACCAUAGGUAAAGUAAACCAUACCUUGUUUUCCUAAGGUGUGAGUUAACACCAGUCCCAUGUAAGAAUGGGAUGAAGUCACAGAUGUGUUUGGUCUUUCGUGUAGGCAAUAACCAUGGGUUUGAGGGACUGACUUCUGUUCCUUUGAGCUUCUUAUCCUCUGCCUGCCUGCCUGCCUGCCUGCCUGCCUGCCUGCCUGCCUGCCUGCCUGCCUGCCUUAAAUUCUUUCCCCGCAAAGGAACCACAGUAUUUCUUUACAGGGAUUACAUGGAUCGUCUUUUGGAUGAAAGUGAAAGUGCUGCUUCUAGCCGAGCACCAUCCCCCCCUCCCACUGCCUCAAAUAGCAGUAACAGCCAGUCCGAGAAAGAAGAUGGCGCUGUCAGCAGUAGGAAUCAGAACGGUGUCUCAUCUAAUGGACCAGGAGAAAUACUAAACAAAGAAGAAGUAAAAGUUGAAGGGUUACAUGUUAAUGGACCAACAGGUGGAAAUAAGAAACCACUUCUUACAGAUAUGGACACUAAUGGUUAUGAAGCAAAUAACCUGACCACUGACCCAAAACUUGCCCAUAUGACUGCAAGAAAUGAAAAUGAUUUUGAUGAAAAAAAUGAGAGACCUGCCAAAAGGCGGCGGAUAAACAGCAGUGGGAAAGAAAGUCCGGGCUCAUCUGAGUUUUUCCAGGAAGCAGUCUCACAUGGGAAGUUUGAGGAACAUGAAAACACGAAUGACUAACUCUUAGGCCUGUUUCACUUUCUUUGCAGUAAAGUCUGGUUUGACUACAAUUUUCAGGGUUGGGGGGUGACCUUUAGAAAGCUGAUUUCCUUAAAGCAGUUGGUUAACUCUUGAAAUUUGAAUUAAGUCCUAACUUUUAAGAAAUGGGAUUCAUAAUUCUACCUUUUACAAGUUCUUUUACUUCAAAUUUUUGAAGCCCUCUUUAAGGAUAUAAAAACAUUGGUAAAUUUGAAUGACCCAAAGACUUAACUGCACCUUCUCCUUUGAAAACCAAAUCAUAUAUUUGAUUAAAAGGUAAUCUUUCCUUAUUCUUUAUGAGGAAGAAAAGAGUUUGUGUUUCUGCUCAACAUCAAAUUUUUUAUUAUCUGGAAAUGUCUUUACAACAGACAUUUUUCUCUCCAUACAAAUUGAACAUCGUUACUAAGGAAACCCUCAUGAAUCCUGAAGGUUAUGCUAGCAUGAUUUUUAUAUGUAGAAGUUUAAAAAUAAACCAAGUCAGGUUUGUAUUUGUAAAAUUGUUGACAUCAAUGAUGUCUUUCCAUAUUCUUAUCUGGGCUUAAGAAAUACAUUCUGUAUUUUUCCAGAUUCUUUGUAGCCUUUGAAAGAUUUUUACAGUACAUAUGUCUUGACUGAGCUGUCUUUUCUUAAUACAAAAAGCUUGUAUAAUUUUCUUAACUUGUACAGUUGGUAAACUUUUAUGAGAGGAACUGAUAUUCUGAGUCUGUCAGCUUUCAUUUUAUUUUGCUAAGAUUUUUCUAAUGACUUUUUAAGUGUGUGUGUAGUUAACCAAGUCAUGUUUCUUAUCCAGGUGGUAAAAGCAUUCAUAAAGAAUUAUGAACAUGCGUUAUUUUCAAACUUCUACUUACUGACAAAUAAUUUGGGAUGUCUAAAUUUCAGCAUGAUACUCAGAUUACAAGCUUGUUUGCAUUUGCUAUAAUUUUAUAAAUUAAUUUUGAAACAAAACAAAAACUUACCGUCAGCUUAAGUGCGUAGAUGUAUCAUGCUGAAUAGAAUCCUGUUCAGUUGCUCUCAUGUGCCCUAUAAGAUUUCUCAUCGUUUCCAUUAAGUCAACAGAAGGGGAAGACCAGGUGAUGUUGCAAUAUUGCCACAUCCAAGGAGUAACUGUUGACAGGUAGCAAUAUUCAUUUUUAUGAGAAAAUAAUGGUUUUAAGAAUUUUCAGAUUUUUCCAGUUGUAAUCCAGUUUGUCAGAUUUGAUAGUUUUUCCAAAAUGAAACACAUACAAAAUAAUCAUUGUUCUGUGUGAUUUUUAAAAAGGGUUAUCUGCACUAGCCUUGUAUGGAUGGGUGCCAUUUUAUUUUUAGUGCAAAAUUCUUCUUAAAAAAUGUAGUUUUUUACAGCUGAUAGACCAAUCUAUCUCCAGACUGUUUUUUAGCGAAUGAUUAUUAGCUAUGUUUUCUCACACAGGCACAUCCCCAAAUGCUGCUUUCAGUUUGAUCUCAGCCAUCAGUUCAAGAGCCAAUGCUCUCAAAGGCAGAUCUGUGCUCCUUUCACAGGCUCAGUUGUCUGAUGCAGGUUGGGUAAAGGUUCGCACUGAGAAUGAUCGCCCAGGCCUCUCCCUCAGAGUAUUCUUAGAUUUGUCCAGACUGCUUCCUUUCCCUCGACCAGUAUUGGAAGGCACUUUGACAGUACAUCACAUAAUAUGCAUUUAUUGUUUUUGCAGAAAUAUCCCAGUAAGUCAGUUUCAGAUGGAAGUGCUAAGAAGCAUGAGAGGAUUUUGUUUGUUUGUUUGUUUUAUUGAAAACCAUUAAUUUAUCCAGAAUGGCAGUAGGUCAAGUAGCUUUAGCAGAUGGAUCAUAGCCUCUGUUUCCCUGCCCACCCCCACCCAUUUCUAUUAUCUCUCUUUUUUCUGUGUUUUUUUUUUUUUUUUUUAAAAACAACAAAAACAAAACAGAGUCUCACUGUGUAGCCCAGGCUGGCCUGGAACUUAACAAUCCUUCUACCUCAGCCCUCUAAUGCUGAGAUUGAAGGUGUUUCCCACCACACCCAGCAACAAUCUAUUCUCUAAAGCAGGUUUUAUUAAAUGAGUUCAAACCAUUCUAACUCUUUGUCACAGAUGGUCUCUAGGAAUGUUUUUUUAAAAAACAGUGAUGCUUUUUAAUCAUUACACUAUUGGAGGUGUCAGCCCACCUUUUAAAGGCUACAACUGCUGGGCAAGUUCCUAGAGUUCUUGAAACUGUUGUUACAGGAACUUUUUAAGGAAUUUCUCAGGCAUGUUGGGAAAUGUGCCAGGUGUAUAUGUGUUCAUAUAUCUUACUUUUCUUUUUAAAGUAUGCAUAAUGAAACAUUUCUCUAAUACACGAUGCUCAGCUUUUCCAAACUACAUUGUUCUGUGUUUGUACAGGUAUUUCACCCUUUGUUCAAAACUGCAGCCACUGAAACUUAAGUCAUUGCACUUUUAAACAACUUGGCAAUAUCAUGAGUAAUUUGUUAAAGGUUUAGUAUAUUUCAUAACUCUUGAGCACUUAAGUAAUUGAGAUGAGAAAAUAAGCCUUCAGGAGUAGGGAUGUAGCUCAGUAGUUUGACUGUUUUGCCCAACGUGCAUAUGAAGCCUGGGUUCCAUGCCCAGUACCACAUAAACUGGGUGUGGUGGCACAUGCCUGUCAUCCUAAGCACUUGGGAGGUGGAGGCAGGAGGAUCAGAAGUUCAAGGCCGUCCUCACCUACAUAGUGAGUUGGAGGCAAGCCUGAGAUACCUGAGAUGCUGCCUCAAACAGAAAUGUCUCUGUUGGUAGUUAGCAUUGUCAUUUUCCUUUGAAACACAAUGUUUAUGAUGUAUUCUCAGUAAGGUUCAGAAUCUGUAACUCAGCUCAACGCGGAUCUGUUGAGCUUUAAAAUGUAUUUGAAGUAAUUUAAGUAGGCAUUCAAAAUUAUAAAUUAGAUGUUUUUAAAUUUCUGCAUAAUAAUUUGCACUGUAAAAUAUGUCCUUCCUCCCAUUUCCUUCUGCCAUUCUGAUAUGCUCAUUAAAAUAUUUUUGUAAACAUA